CAGGAGAAUAGGCUGAAGAAGAGGUUCCUCUACGGCUUCUCCAUGGGAGGAACCGUGGUGCUUCAGCUCCACAGGAAGGAUCCUCUCUACUGGGACGGUGCCGUGCUGCUUGCCCCAAUGUGCAAGGGUUAUUGUAUAUUAACAGCCAACAGUAGUGUCGAAGGAGCACAAGAUGAGGUGUGAGCACAAAGUGGCCAGCAAGAAUGGAGUCAUGGAACAUGGGCAGGAGGGGUGCGGCAGCGGCAACCGAUGUAUCCCUUGGACAAUCUGGUUUUGACAUGAUGCAAAUCAAUCUGCUGUACAUUGUAUUCUGCACUUGCACAGAUUGUUUGGCUAAUUACAAGAUUAUCUCAAUGUUUUGGUUUGGAUUUAGAGUACACUUAUGUAUGAAAUAUUUAUUGGUACUCAUCUAUAUUAUAUUAAUUAUAUUAUUAUUAAAUA